rnacentral:tRNA from 1 species
AAAGAAGUACUUUAGAAGCGAUAGGUGUGCUUUAUUGAGCUACGGUAAAAUUGUCCUUUUUUC